GGAAUGUGCUGACCUCCCCAUCUGGCCUCAGCCCCUGCCCUGCCCUCAUGUCUGCAGCACAGCCAUGACACUCUGCUGGCCCUUCCCAGACACCACACCCCCUUCCAGCCUCCACACCUGUGCCCCGGCGGUUCUCCCCACCAGCUCUGGGAGCAGCUCACAGAGGGACUCUGCCUGGUCUACAAAGUCAGCAAAGGAGUCCAUUCCUUGGCAUUUCCAGGGGCUAGCACUGCAGAGUCGAGGAUGACACUUUUUAUUCUAAAGAGGCCCACGUGAGAAGUAGCCACAACUUGUUUGCCCUCUAAGGAGCCAGAGGAAGUCUUGUCCGGGACUGAGGGCUUGGCCAGAGCCAGUCCCUGCGAACUGCCCGGCGCGUCCUGCCUUGCCAGACCCUCUGCCCGGGGUCAUCCGCAGCCCGCGGGCGCCAUCGGCUCCAGGCACACAUCACCCGUGCUGGAACCCCAGCGUGUGGAGACCGGAGGCCAAAGAAACGAAACUCCCCACGCUGCGCCGUGGAGAAUAAUCACUGCCUUUUCAGAGGCCGACUUCGC